ensembl:ncRNA F59F5.8 ncRNA
GCAAAUUGACGUUUUUUCGGAAAAUGAAAUAUGUAGAAGCUUUACCGUAAUUGGUUGAAUUUUUUAAAUCUUGUAGUUUCAAGUAAAUUCAACAUAUGUAAAUAUUCGAACAAAACGUAUUUUUCAGUUCCACG